rnacentral:rRNA from 1 species
AUACGGAGGAUCCGAGCGUUAUCCGGAUUUAUUGGGUUUAAAGGGAGCGUAGGCGGACUAUUAAGUCAGCUGUGAAAGUUUGCGGCUCAACCGUAAAAUUGCAGUUGAUACUGGUCGUCUUGAGUACAGUAGAGGCAGGCGGAAUUCGUGGUGUAGCGGUGAAAUGCUUAGAUAUCACGAAGAACUCCGAUUGCGAAGGCAGCCUGCUGGACUGUAACUGACGCUGAUGCUCGAAAGUGUGGGUAUCAAACAGGAUUAGAUACCCUGGUAGUCCACACAGUAAACGAUGAAUACUCGCUGUUUGCGAUAUACAGUAAGCGGCCAAGCGAAAGCGUUAAGUAUUCCACCUGGGGAGUACGCCGGCAACUGUGAAACUCAAAGGAAUUGACGGGG